rnacentral:rRNA from 1 species
CCCUUAGAUGUUCUGGGCAGCACGCGCGCUACAAUGGUCUUCGCAAACGGAUGCAUUCUCGAAGGAGAAUGCCAAUCUUGGAAUCUAUGCCUUGGUCGGGACAGUUGCUUGCAAUUUUUCGACUCGAACCAGGAAUUCCUUGUAAUCGUGAUUCAUCACAUCACGAUGAAUACGUCCCUGCCCUUUGUACACACCGCCCGUCGCUCCUACCGAUCGAAGAGUUAGGUGAAUUGUUUUGAUCGAUAAGAUUUGACUAUGGUCAACUCUCGUUGUGAAAUUCUGUGAAUCUGACUGUUUAGAGGAAGGAAAAGGCGGAACA